rnacentral:rRNA from 1 species
AUUGAACGCUGGCGGCAGGCCUAACACAUGCAAGUCGAGCGGAUGAAGGGAGCUUGCUCCUGGAUUCAGCGGCGGACGGGUGAGUAAUGCCUAGGAAUCUGCCUGGUAGUGGGGGACAACGCUUCGAAAGGAACGCUAAUACCGCAUACGUCCUACGGGAGAAAGCAGGGGACCUUCGGGCCUUGCGCUAUCAGAUGAGCCUAGGUCGGAUUAGCUAGUUGGCGAGGUAAUGGCUCACCAAGGCGACGAUCCGUAACCGGUCUGAGAGGAAGAUCAGUCACACUGGAACUGAGACACGGUCCAGACUCCUACGGGAGGCAGCAGUGGGGAAUAUUGGACAAUGGGCGAAAGCCUGAUACAGCCAUGCCGCGUGUGUGAAGAAGGUCUUCGGAUUGUAAAGCACUUUAAGUUGGGAGGAAGGGUUGUAGAUUAAUACUCUGCAAUUUUGACGUUACCGACAGAAUAAGCACCGGCUAACUCUGUGCCAGCCGCCGCGGUAAUAC